rnacentral:rRNA from 1 species
CAGCCGCCGCGGGAAUACGAAGGGGGCUAGCGUUACUCGGAAUCACUGGGCGUAAAGGGUGCGUAGGCGGGUUUUUAAGUCAGAGGCGAAAUCCUGGGGCUCAACUCCAGAACUGCCUUUGAUACUGAAAGUCUUGAGUAUGGGAGAGGCGAGUGGAACUGCGAGUGUAGAGGUGAAAUUCGUAGAUAUUCGCAAGAACACCAGUGGCGAAGGCGGCUCACUGGCCCAUAACUGACGCUGAGGCACGAAAGCGUGGGGAGCAAACAGGAUUAGAUACCCGGGUAGUCCCUGUCUCUUAUAA